GCCAGCAUAGCAUAGCGCUUUGAGCACUGGACUACAAUUCUGGAGACUAGGGUUCAAAUCCACAUUCUGACU